UUCGGUCCCUAUCCUCUGCGCGCGUAGGAAUAUUGAGAAGGGCUGUCCCUAGUACGAGAG
rnacentral:rRNA from 1 species